rnacentral:rRNA from 1 species
UACGUAGGGGGCAAGCGUUGUCCGGAUUCAUUGGGCGUAAAGCGCAUGCAGGCGGCUUGGUAAGUCAUCGGUGAAAUCCCUCGGCUCAACCGGGGGGGGUCCGGCGAAACUGCCAGGCUUGAGGUCGGGAGGGGGAAGCGGAAUUCCGGGUGUAGUGGUGGAAUGCGUAGAUAUCCGGAGGAACACCAGUGGCGAAGGCGGCUUCCUGGCCCGAUUCUGACGCUGAUAUGCGAAAGCGUGGGGAGCGAGCCGG